rnacentral:rRNA from 1 species
GCUGGCGGCAGGUCUUAGGCAUGCAAGUCGAACGGAUGACAGAGAGCUUGCUCUCUGAAGUCAGUGGCGCACGAGUGAGUAACGCGUGGGAAACUGCCCUUCACUGGGGAAUAACGUUUGGAAACGAACGCUAAUACCGCAUACGCCCGCAAGGGGAAAGAUUUAUCGGUGAUGGAUGUGCCCGCGUUGGAUUAGCCAGUUGGUGGGGUAAUGGCCUACCAAAGCAAUGAUCCAUAGCUGGUCUGAGAGGACGAUCAGCCACGCUGGAACUGAGACACGGUCCAGACUCCUACGGGAGGCAGCAGCUAAGAAUAUUGGGCAAUGGAGGAAACUCUGACCCAGCCAUGCCGCGUGAAUGAAGAAGGCCUUCGGGUUGUAAAGUUCUUUUAGUCAUGAAGAUGAUGACAGUAGUGACAGAAAAGCACCGGCUAACUUCGUGCC